rnacentral:rRNA from 1 species
AUAGAACUCUCUCUCCUUCCCCCCGUACGAUCCCCACCAGGCUCCUCCUGCACAUCCGCCAUUUCUUCCGAUUUGCCGCCGGCGAAGGACGACGUCGCCGUGCCUCAUCAGGAAACUAAUCCUCAUGCUAUCCCAGAUCCACAUGUCGCUUCCUUUCUCCUGAUUUUUCUUCCUUGGUGGUGGCACAUGUGGCAGGGUGAGUGCGUGGAUCUCGGCGACCUCGUCGAGUCUGGCAACGCGGUCACGGAGAUGUCCAGGGAGAACGUGGGCUACGCUGCUCAAACUUAUCGUAGCCGGAGGCUCUGGAUGUUGGGGCUGCGGAGGCAUUGAGGGAGCUCGCGGAGGAAAAAAUAUCAGCAAGAUGCCAGAAGUGCUUUGGUGUAAAUUCUUCUGACGUUGAUUGGAGCAGUUGGGCUUCGCUUCGUCGGGCGUUCAGCGUGGUUUGGCGUGGCUUUGUCGGACGUUGAGUGAAGCAGCUGGGGGUGGCUUUUUCGCCUGGACCUCGAGUCGCGUCUGGCGUAUUCGAGUCAUCGUGGUUGCCGGCUUGUAAUUGUUCGGUGUGUACUUGUGCGGCCGUCUGUACUUGUUUACUUGUACAUGUAUAUAUAUAUUCUUAUGUAACGCUUGCAUCUUUUAAUCUCAGCCG